rnacentral:rRNA from 1 species
AUUGAACGCUGGCGGCAUGCCUUACACAUGCAAGUCGAACGGCAGCGGGCCUUCGGGUGCCGGCGAGUGGCGAACGGGUGAGUAAUGCAUCGGAACGUGCCAUUGAGUGGGGGAUAACGUAGCGAAAGUUGCGCUAAUACCGCAUAUUCUGUGAGCAGGAAAGCAGGGGGACCGCAAGGCCUUGCGCUCUUUGAGCGGCCGAUGUCAGAUUAGCUAGUUGGUGGGGUAAAGGCCUACCAAGGCGACGAUCUGUAGCGGGUCUGAGAGGAUGAUCCGCCACACUGGAACUGAGACACGGUCCAGACUCCUACGGGAGGCAGCAGUGGGGAAUUUUGGACAAUGGGGGCAACCCUGAUCCAGCCAUGCCGCGUGAGUGAAGAAGGCCUGGUGUAAGA